UAGGGAAUCUUCCGCAAUGGGCGAAAGCCUGACGGAGCAACGCCGCGUGAGUGAUGAAGGUCUUCGGAUCGUAAAACUCUGUUAUUAGGGAAGAACAAAUGUGUAAGUAACUAUGCACGUCUUGACGGUACCUAAUCAGAAAGCCACGGCUAACUACGUGCCAGCAGCCGCGGUAAUACGUAGGUGGCAAGCGUUAUCCGGAAUUAUUGGGCGUAAAGCGCGCGUAGGCGGUUUUUUAAGUCUGAUGUGAAAGCCCACGGCUCAACCGUGGAGGGUGAUUGGAAACUGGAAAACUUGAGUGCAGAAGAGGAAAGUGGAAUUCCAUGUGUAGCGGUGAAAUGCGCAGAGAUAUGGGGGAACACCAGUGGCGAAGGCGACUUUCUGGUCUGUAACUGACGCUGAUGUGCGAAAGCGGGGGGAUCAAACAGG
rnacentral:rRNA from 1 species